rfam:Melipona quadrifasciata isolate 0111107301 unplaced genomic scaffold scaffold98, whole genome shotgun sequence.
CCUUCGAUAGCUCAGUUGGUAGAGCGGUGGACUGUAGAGGAUAUAUACAUACAUUGAAGCUAUCCAUAGGUCGCUGGUUCGAAUCCGGCUCGAAGGA